CAAUAGCAUAUAUUAACGUUGUUGCAGUUGAAAAGCUCGUAGUUGAACUUUUGGUAGGAGCGACCUGGCCUUGGGCGCAUGCCCUUGUUUGCCGUGUGUCGUGUCUGGCCAUCCUUUUCUUCGUUUUCGGAGGGAUCUUUUACUGUGAGUAAACUGGAGUGCUCAAAACAAGACGUUUGUUUGGUACAUUAAAGCAUGGAAUAAUAAGAUAGGACCUGGUUACUAUUUUGUUGGUUUGCAUAGCUAGGUAAUGAUUAACAGGGACAGUUGGGGGUAUUCGUAUUUAAUUGUCAGAGGUGAAAUUCUUGGAUUUAUGAAAGACGAACGACUGCGAAAGCAUUUACCAAGGAUGUUUUCAUUAA
rnacentral:rRNA from 1 species